AUGGGUAAUCAGAAUGGCACCCCCGGGAACGAUUACUACAAUCGGUUCCCCAGGGAGCAUCCUGCUUCUAGGUAUGCCGAUGGGAUUGAAGAUGAUAGCUACUCAGACUUGAAGAAAUCUGACAAGCCCUGGCCCGAUGCUGACUCUUUUAGGCCCACCGCCGCUGGUAUUCUGAGGCAAGGGUUGGAUCCGACAUCCAUCUCUGUCCUCGGGCGCAAGACAGCAGACCUAAGGGAGCAUUACAUCCUUGGCCGGAAGCUUGGGCAGGGCCAGUUUGGGACGACGUACCUCUGCACCGAGAUAAGUACAGGGUGUGACUUCGCGUGCAAGACCAUCCUCAAGCGCAAGCUCAUCACCAAGGUGGAUGUCGAGGAUGUGCGCCGUGAGAUCCAGAUAAUGCACCAUUUGUCGGGACACAAGAACGUUGUCUCCAUCAAGGAUGUCUAUGAGGACGCGCAGGCGGUCCACAUUGUGAUGGAGCUCUUGCCUGGCGGGGAGCUCUUUGACCGAAUUCAGGGGAAUGGCCGUUACAGUGAGAUGAAGGCUGCAGAGAUUACAAGAAUUGUUGUCAGCAUUGUGGCUAUGUGCCAUUCACUUGGUGUGAUGCACCGCGAUCUCAAGCCAGAAAAUUUCCUCCUCCUUGACAAAGAUAAUGACCUGUCCAUAAAAGCAAUUGAUUUUGGCCUGUCCGUCUACUUCAAGCCAGGCCAGGUUUUUAGUGAGCUAGUUGGCAGCCCGUUCUAUGUUGCUCCUGAGGUGUUGCACAAACGCUAUGGGCCAGAAUCCGACGUGUGGUCAGCUGGAGUGAUACUCUAUGUAUUGCUAAGUGGGGUUCCACCAUUUUGGGCAGAUACACAGAAAGGCAUAUUUGAUGCAGUUCUGAAGGGGCACCUUGAUUUGGAAUCAGACCCUUGGCCUAAGAUAUCUGACAGUGCAAAGGAUCUUAUAAGAAAGAUGCUUUGCAAUUGCCCUUCAGAGCGUUUGAAAGCCCAUGAAGUGCUACGGCAUCCCUGGAUCUGCCAAAAUGGGAUGGCCACUGACGGAGUUUUGGAUCCUAGUGUUAUCUCUCGGCUCAAGCGGUUCUCUGCAAUGAACAAUCUACAGAAAUUGGCUCUGAGAGUGAUAGCUGAGCGUCUUUCAGAAGAGGAGAUUGCUGGAUUAAGAGAAUUAUUCAAGACAGUGGACAUAAAAAAUAGAGGUGUAAUCACUUUUGGUGAGCUUAGGAAAGGUCUGACAAGAUAUGGCAAUGAAUUGGUGGAGACCGAGAUCUGUGAUAUAAUGGAAGCGGCUGAUACAGACACUGAUGUAACCAUAAACUAUAAAGAAUUUAUUGCUGCAACCAUGCCUCUAAACAAGAUAGAGCGGGAAGAACACUUGAAGGCAGCUUUUACAUAUUUUGACAAAGAUGGCAGUGGCUACAUCACAGUCGACAAGCUUCAACGAGCCUGUGCAGAAUAUAACAUGGAGGGCACUCUCCUUGAAGAGAUUAUUUUAGAGGCCGAUCAGAACAAUGACGGUCAAAUUGAUUAUGCCGAAUUUGUAGCCAUGAUGCAAGGCAACGCCAACGGUGGCAAUAUUGGACUUGGGCGUCCAACACUGGAAACCAGUCUGAAUGUGACCUUGAGAGAUGCAGCUCAAGUACAUUAA
rnacentral:rRNA from 1 species